rnacentral:rRNA from 1 species
CCCGAAACGAAAAGAGCUAAUUUUUUAAUUAACUAAUAUUUCAAUAUUACUAAUUAGGAAAAUUAGAGGUGAUAUGCCAAACAAUUUUUGUAUAUCUGGUUUGAUAAAUAAAAAUUUAAUUUUUAAGUAAAUAAUUGUAUUUAUAAAUAUAUUAUAAGAGGGUAAGCUUCUUAUUUUUAGGUUGAUAUUUUUAAAAAAAUUGGUUUAACUAUCUUUAUUAACUUGAAAUAAAUUUUAUAUCCUAUUUAAUAAUCAAACUAAAAAUUAUUGUUUUUAGAAAAUAAUAAGUUUAUUAUUAAUUUUAAUAUACGUAUAUAAUAAAAUUUUAUUUAAAAUUAUAAAGUAAAGAACUUUAAUAGAACUCGGCAAAAUUAUCUUCGCCUGUUUAACAAAAACAUCUCUUAAAAUAUUUUAAGUAAUCUCUGCCCAAUGAAUUUUAAAUGGCCGCAGUAUCUUGACUGUGCAAAGGUAGCAUAAUCAUUUGUUUCUUAAUUGGAAACUAGAAUGAAAGAGUUGACGAAAGAUAAUCUUUUGAUAAAAUAAAUAAAAUUAACAUAAAGGUUAAAAGGCCUUUAUUUACCAGAGGGACGAUAAGACCCUAUAAAACUUUACCUUUAAGAGAAACUUGAAAGAUUAGUUUUAUAAUUAAGGUUGAACUGGGGCGGUAUUUAUAAAAACAACAAGAUUUUUAAUACUUAUAGUAAAUUUAGAGAACUCGAUUGAGAAAAUUUAAAUAAGUUACUUUAGGGAUAACAGCAUAAUUUUCUUUGAGAGUCCUUAUCGGCAAGGAAGAUUAUGACCUCGAUGUUGAAUUGAAAAUCCUUUUAGAAGCAGAAAUUUAGAAAGGUAGUCUGUUCGACUAUUAAAUUUUCACAUGAUUUGAGUUCAGACCGGCGUAAGCCAGGUUGGUUUCUAUCUUCUGGAGAAAAAAACACCAAAUUGUACGAAAGGACCUUUGG